rnacentral:lncRNA from 1 species
UAUACAAUCAAAUCCAUGUUGCUACAGUAUUACCAAAAGUCUCUUCUCCAUAUAUAUCUAUUAGGUAUAUCAUUUAUCUGUUUUAUUUGCUAAAAUUAAAUGUAUUAUUUUAUCCAUUGCAACAUCGUUUUUGUCGCAAAUGAAAAAUUUGUUUGAUGCGUCUGCAUUAUUAAUAACAUAACAAAAAAACAAGUGUAAUACAUACUAUGUCAUUUUAAAAAUGUUCAUCUAUAAUGUAAUGCGACCGUUAGAUAGAGUUACAU